GGUAGAGUGCAUUUCAAACCACAGGGAGCCGUUGCAGCGAACUUGGUCCGCCAGAAAGGCUUCCUGUGGUUUUCAGACCAACAGGGAUUGGAUCGGGCCUAGCUCUAUCCUUCUAUUAACCCUUCAUCUUUAAACAUGUCUAAUCAAUCAUCCCAAUUGUUUUCUUCAGAAACACCAGCCUCCAACAAUCCAAGUUGAAUAGAGAAGACGAAGGACUAAUGAAGUAGAAGGAAGAAAGUAAGACAUCAAUAAAGAGGGAAAUGGGAGAAACAAAGAGGAAAAAAAAGAGGAAAAACGAAAUCAAAAAGGGUGCGCGGUCAAGCCAACGGGUUCAUAUUUCACCUCACCUUGGUAACCAAAUGGCGGAAGGUUCAGUGAAUGGUUUGAAAAUCCUAUUGACGGGUGUUGAUGUCAUGAAUGGAUGGCUAUUCUACGUAUACAAUCGCCGACUGCCGUGGGAUAAAAAUGGAUUUCACCCGCAUAUCCGCAGCAGUUUAGCUUUUACCACCGACGACAAAGCAUUACGAUCUUGACAGCGUAUCUAUCCAAGGUUUACUUCAUAAGCAAGGCAAAGAUUAUCAAAUAUCUUGAAGAGCAGCAAUUUGUCUUAAUUAUAUAACAUUGAAGAAAAGUAGAUGUGUCGAGAAGUAGAUGUGUCGUUGGACACUGCGUAAUUCAUAUGACUCCAAAAGCUACCACGCAUGCGCAAGACCCAUUAGAAAGACAACAAGAAUGUCGAGAAGUUGGAAGACUUUUACGUUCAAUAGGAGACGACUUGCAGAGGAAUUCCGCUUAUCAAGAACGCCCUCCUCAAAACAAUUAUUUCUUGUCAAUUUUGCUCGUAAUAUUUGAACUAAUAUCAAGACUCUACGAGGUAAAUUAAAAUGACCCGCGAGUAUAAAACAAACAAAAACUAGGCUACGUACAAUAUCGAGGCUUUAGUGCGAUGGUACUUCAUGUAUGUACAAAAAUAUGGUUAUCAAAUAGAUUUACCUUCAUGAACGUAACGCUUUGUCACACAUGACAUUUUUACCCGUUAAUUGUCAAUAUCUUAGUACCAUAGUACUCAUGUAUGUACAAAAAUAUGGAUAUCAAAUAUAUUUACCCUCAUGAACGCAACGUUGUGUAAUACAUGACGUUUCUGCCCGUUUGCAAUGUUUCAAACAAAAAAUCGGUAGAAAAGCUUUCCAGAUAACCACUUUAAUCCAACAUAAUCUUAACAAUUUACUUCUAAAUCUUGGUAAAAAUAUUUUUUGUCGAUCAUUCAAAAGACCAAAACUAUUGUAUAGUAAUAAAUGUAAAUAGAAAUGUUCGUUAAAUAAAAAUCGUAGAAAAUGA